GCGGGUGUGGUGUAUGGUACACAGCUGUCUUUCAUUCGCAUACCAGAAACAGAUAUUGUAAGCAGCAGAUCCGGGUUCGACUCCCGGCGCCCGCG